GGAUCUGUGAUGAGACCUCAUACUAUCUCAAAGAAAGUUGACAACAUAAAAAUCAUGCUUAAUAGGAUUACACUGAGACCC
ensembl:snoRNA SNORD115 Small nucleolar RNA SNORD115